rnacentral:rRNA from 1 species
CCUACGGGAGGCAGCAGUAGGGAAUAUUGCUCAAUGGGGGAAACCCUGAAGCAGCAACGCCGCGUGGAGGAUGAAGGAUUUAGGAGUGUAAACCUCUUUUGGUAGAGAAGAAAAUGACGGUACCUAAGGAAUAAGCACCGACUAACUCCGUGCCAGCAGCCGCGGUAAUACGGAGGGAGCAAGCGUUAUUCGGAUUUACUGGGCGUAAAGAGUGCGUAGGCGGGGUGGUAAGUCAGGUGUGAAAGUCUGUAGCUUAACUACCGAACUGCAUUUGAAACUGUAAGGCGGGAGUGUAGGAGAGGUAGGUGGAAUUCUUGGUGUAGGGGUGAAAUGCGUAGAGAUCAGGAGGAAUACUAAUGGCGAAGGCGGCCUACUGGACCGUAACUGACGCUGAGGCUCGAAAGCGUGGGGAGCAAACAGGAUUAGAUACCCGGGUAGUC